rnacentral:lncRNA from 10 species
GAGUCUCCCUUUAUUGCCCAGGCUGGACUGCAGUGGCGUGAUCUCGGCUCACUGCAAGCUCCGCCUCCCGGAUUCAAGCGAUUCUUCUGCCUCAGCCUGCGAUUCUUCUGCCUCAGCCUCCCGAGUAGCUGGGACUACAGGCACGUGCUACCACACCUGGCUAAGUUUUUGUAUUUUUAGUAGAGAUGGGGUUUCACCAGAUUAGCCAGGAUGGUCUCCAGCUCCUGACCUCGUGAACCGCCCGCCUUCGUCUUACAAAGUGCUGGGAUUACAGGCAUGAGCUUCCGCGCCCGGCCCCGAAACUUUCUUUCAACAAGAGUUAGAGGAGUACAGAGAAGAGAAUAAAUUGGUGAGGAAUUUCAUGGAAGAGGUGAAAUUUAAGAAGAAUUUUAAAGAAUAGGUAGAAUUUGGUUAUGUGGAAAGGAGUCAAAAAGUUUUUCCAGGCAGAAGGAAAAUUGAGUAAAAACUUUGAGUCAGAAAAAAGCAUGAUCCAGAAAUGUGAGAAAACUAGUCUGGGACACUGAGUUGUUUUUUUCUUUGCAUGUAUUCAACAAAUAUUUAUUGAAUAACUACCAAGUUUCCAGCGCCAUACUAG